rnacentral:lncRNA from 1 species
UCCUUGAUCAUUCACCAUACAAGCAAGGAGUAAGCUAAGUUUGAAGAUUUGAUGGACCAUGAAUUUACCUUGUUCACUUGUACGUUUGAAGUGAAAGAAUGAUCUCAUACUUGUUAGCUUAGUUAGCAGUUGUUUUAAAGCUGUCUAGUUUAGUAGUUUGUUAAUCACACAAAGGACAUGUUGUCCUCUAGUUUUAAUCCUUUUAGUAGAUUUUAUUAAUUAUUGGGCCUUAUCGGGAAGCCAUAAAGAGCUGGCUCUUUAUGUGGGUCGAAUUCCUAUUUCCUAGUUUAGGUAGGUGAGUUGUCAAUCUUUACUCCAAAUGGAUUUGCCCUCGUUCUAGCCUAUAAAAAGGCACCUCUUGUAUGAGUAAAGGGACAAAAUAUUACAACCAGAAAUCGUGAGGAAUUUUCCUUCAAGUUCUUAAUCGAACUUACUCUUGAAUUCUUGAGUUCAUAGAUUAGGAUUCAAAUCAGACUUUAUCGAUUAGUUUGUUCCCUAAUCGUGGUGUCUCUUCAUCCAUCAUUAUUUGCUUAAGGUUGCUGAUUACCUUUGUGUGUCAGAGGUCUUGAGUUCAUGAGAACAAUCGAGUUCAAUUUUCAUGAGGGAGAAAAGGUCCAACGCUGAUAUUACAAAGUUGGAAGGUUAUAGGAGGGUUUUCCCCUAGGGUUGCUCAUCAUUCAAAGUAAGACCAAAUUAGAUCAAUAAAUAAAUAUAGUUACAGUAAUAAUGACCUGAUCUUUAAUUCUUGAAUCACAUUUGAAUCGGCAAUCAAAUCUAUGGAAGCUCAAUUUCCUUGAUUGUCCUCAUUUGCUGCAUACACCAAAGCAACAUACACAUACGAUAUAUAUAACUUAAAAAAUAUGAAAUCUAGAAAUGAAGUAGUAAACUUAUCAAAAAAUGGUAAAAUUUAGCCAUCUAAAACUUACCUUUGUUUUUUUUUUAUCUCAUACAUAU